UUUUGUACGAUGGUUUUUUCACCGUGUACGGGGUGGUAUACCACGCUGAUGGAUCGUAUAGUCAGAGCUGAACAAAAACCUCCAGCCUCGUCUGAAACGUCUGAUCAACAGCGAGAAUCAACCAGAAUCCAACAGAAACACCAAACACUAAGCGGUGGUCUCAGGGAGUGCUGACUGGCUUCUCUUGCCCUGGAAAUGCUCACUUUCCUUCACUUUCCCUGACUUUGUGGGGCCCGGGUUUCUGACCUGCUGCUGCUCAAACUGUGAAUAAUCCAACAUGUGUCAGACAGAAAGACAGCAGCAGCUCUGUGUGUGAUCCUCUGCUUCACAGAGUGGGGCGAAUCCAGAGGAAGUGGAUUUUAAUCGUUUCUGAGCAGCUCUGCGGACGAAUGGAGAGCCUUCAGGUUUUUGUACGAUGGUUUUUCACUGUGUGGUAUUUUACGUUCGGGAACGCGAUAAGUCUCACCGUCCUCCCUGAAGGCCCGGUCGUGGCCCCGGACCUGUUCAUCUGGACCGGUACCUCCUCCGGAUCAGCAGCCCGACGUGAACACCAGGCUGGGCCCUGAUGUCUGCCUGGCCGCCAACUUCCGCCCUCCAGGGGGCGUCAUGUUUCUGGAGACCAGCGGCGGACGUCGUCUCUGAACACCAGCACGGCCCGUUCUGUCCAUCCAGCACAAACCUACUUCUUCACCGGGUUCAGCGACCACAACAUACAGUCCUGUAAACUGAACGAUCCUUCCAGAGCCUGGCCCCUGGGACAGCUACGGUUCCUGCUACGGUUCCUGCUACGGUUCCUGCUACGGUUCAUGCUACGGCUCUUGCUACAGUUCCUGCUCGGUUCCAGAGAACGAACCCUGCAACGACUGUUAUCCUGAACGAGCCAAACUCAACUUCUACCUGCUGCUCUUCAACGGCAAUCCGAGUGGUGUUUCAUCAAGGCCGUGGCCGUCAGCACCAUCCUGACCAUCAGAGCCGUGCUGGUCUGAGCCGGGUGGGGGCGG